rnacentral:rRNA from 1 species
UACGAAGGGUGCAAGCGUUACUCGGAAUUACUGGGCGUAAAGCGUGCGUAGGUGGUUUGUUAAGUCUGAUGUGAAAGCCCUGGGCUCAACCUGGGAACGGCAUUGGAAACUGGCUUACUAGAGUGCGGUAGAGGGGUGUGGAAUUCCCGGUGUAGCAGUGAAAUGCGUAGAUAUCGGGAGGAACAUCUGUGGCGAAGGCGACACCCUGGACCAGCACUGACACUGAGGCACGAAAGCGUGGGGAGCUAACAGG